UACAGAGGUCUCAAGCGUUGUUCGGAUUCAUUGGGCGUAAAGGGUGCGUAGGCGGCGCGGUAAGUCGGGUGUGAAAUCUCGGAGCUUAACCCCGAAACUGCAUUCGAUACUGCCGUGCUUGAGGACUGGAGAGGAGACUGGAAUUUACGGUGUAGCGGUGAAAUGCGUAGAUAUCGUAAGGAAGACCAGUGGCGAAGGCGGGUCUCUGGACAGUUCCUGACGCUGAGGCACGAAGGUCAGGGGAGCAAACGGG
rnacentral:rRNA from 1 species